AGUGAACGCUGGCGGUAGGCCUAACACAUGCAAGUCGAACGGCAGCACAGUAAGAGCUUGCUCUUACGGGUGGCGAGUGGCGGACGGGUGAGGAAUACAUCGGAAUCUACUUUUUCGUGGGGGAUAACGUAGGGAAACUUACGCUAAUACCGCAUACGACCUACGGGUGAAAGCAGGGGAUCUUCGGACCUUGCGCGAUUGAAUGAGCCGAUGUCGGAUUAGCUAGUUGGCGGGGUAAAGGCCCACCAAGGCGACGAUCCGUAGCUGGUCUGAGACGAUGAUUAGCCACACUGGAACUGAGACACGGUCCAGACUCCUACGGGAGGCAGCAGUGGGGAAUAUUGGACAAUGGGCGCAAGCCUGAUCCAGCCAUACCGCGUGGGUGAAGAAGGCCUUCGGGUUGUAAAGCCCUUUUGUUGGGAAAGAAAAGCAGCAGGUUAAUACCCCGCUGUUCUGACGGUACCCAAAGAAUAAGCACCGGCUAACUUCGUG
rnacentral:rRNA from 1 species